UACGUAGGGUGCAAGCGUUGUCCGGAAUCAUUGGGCGUAAAGAGCGCGUAGGCGGUCCGAUAAGUCGGCUGUGAAAGUCAGGGGCUCAACCCUUGAAAGCCGGCCGAUACUGUCGGACUAGAGUUCGGAAGAGGCGAGUGGAAUUCCCGGUGUAGCGGUGAAAUGCGCAGAUAUCGGGAGGAACACCAAUGGCGAAGGCAGCUCGCUGGGACGUGACUGACGCUGAGGCGCGAAAGCGUGGGGAGCAAACAGG
rnacentral:rRNA from 1 species